rnacentral:rRNA from 1 species
CCUACGGGAGGCUGCAGUGGGGAAUAUUGGACAAUGGGGGCAACCCUGAUCCAGCCAUGCCGCGUGUGUGAAGAAGGCCCUCGGGUUGUAAAGCACUUUCAGUGAGGAAGAACGCCUGGUGGUUAAUACCCAUCAGGAAAGACAUCACUCACAGAAGAAGCACCGGCUAACUCCGUGCCAGCAGCCGCGGUAAUACGGAGGGUGCGAGCGUUAAUCGGAAUUACUGGGCGUAAAGCGCGCGUAGGUGGCUUGAUAAGCCGGUUGUGAAAGCCCCGGGCUCAACCUGGGAACGGCAUCCGGAACUGUCAAGCUAGAGUGCAGGAGAGGAAGGUAGAAUUCCCGGUGUAGCGGUGAAAUGCGUAGAGAUCGGGAGGAAUACCAGUGGCGAAGGCGGCCUUCUGGAAUGACACUGACCCUGAGGUGCGAAAGCGUGGGUAGCACACAGGAUGAGAUACCCCAGUAGUC